GAUCUGUCUCUGCAGGACCCAAGUUAAGGAGUAAGGGCCAGUGACCACUGCCUACUAGCUCUGAGGGUGAAGUGAGCUGGCAUGCCAAGGACAGCCCUAGUCCCAGAAUGAAGUACAGUGUGGGUGGGUUCGCUGAUGGGAUGCUGGACUAGAGGGAACUGUUUCUAGCAGUCUGCAGAAGGUCAGAGCACUGCAGGAGAGCGUCCCUUUACAUUCCGAAGGCAUCCCCACUGUCUGUCUGCCUGCAGCCGGGCAAUGGGAUUACUUUGUCCACUCUCAGGAAGGCAAGUGUGCCCAGCUUUUAGAACUCACUGAAGAAACACAGUGAACAGAGGGCCCUAGUCUUGUUUCUUUUCCACGUAGCCCUGAGCACUGAAGGAGAGGCAGUUGCCUGUGGUAAUGCUUCACUCCCUGUCACUGAGUGGGAGUGAGCUUGUGAGGUGAAGCCAAUGCAGAAAGCCUAUGUCCUGCAUGCUGGAACAGCAGGAAGAUCUGGUCCUCUUCCCCACAAGGACAGGGGCAAACACAAGGAUGGAUCAAGGACAGGCCCAGACCCUGCAUGGAACCACAUGGAGGACUUGGGAGAAUGAUAGCGAGUGGUUUGGUUGCUCAGUGGCUCUGACAGAAUGGGGCCCAGGUGCUCACCCCUUUGCCUAUAGGAGGUGUGUUUGGCUUGGGCCUCCAUUUUCCUGGAUUGUCAGGGACUAGGGUUCAUCUGCCAACUCAGCAGCACCUCUGCUGAAGAGCCUGAUCCCACUCACAACCCACUCAGGUCCAUGGGUCCUCGUGGAGUGGAGCGACGAAGGGUAUUUA
rnacentral:lncRNA from 1 species